rnacentral:rRNA from 1 species
AUUGAACGCUGGCGGCAUGCCUUACACAUGCAAGUCGAACGGUAACAGGUCUUCGGAUGCUGACGAGUGGCGAACGGGUGAGUAAUACAUCGGAACGUGCCCGAUCGUGGGGGAUAACGGAGCGAAAGCUUUGCUAAUACCGCAUACGAUCUACGGAUGAAAGCAGGGGACCGCAAGGCCUUGCGCGGACGGAGCGGCCGAUGGCAGAUUAGGUAGUUGGUGGGAUAAAAGCUUACCAAGCCGACGAUCUGUAGCUGGUCUGAGAGGACGACCGGCCACACUGGGACUGAGACACGGCCCAGACUCCUACGGGAGUCAGCAGUGGGGAAUUUUGGACAAUGGGCGAAAGCCUGAUCCAGCCAUGCCGCGUGCAGGAUGAAGGCCUUCGGGUUGUAAACUGCUUUUGUACGGAACGAAAAGACUCUUUCUAAUAAAGAGGGUCCAUGACGGUACCGUAAGAAUAAGCGCCGGCUAACUACGUGCCAGCAGCCGCCGUAA